rnacentral:rRNA from 1 species
GUGUCAGCCGCCGCGGUAAUACGGAGGGUGCAAGCGUUGUCCGGAUUUAUUGGGUUUAAAGGGUGCGCAGGUGGUUUAUUAAGUCAGUGGUGAAAGACGGUCGCUCAACGAUUACAGUGCCAUUGAAACUGGUAGACUUGAGUAAGGUAGAGGUGGGCGGAAUUGAUAGUGUAGCGGUGAAAUGCAUAGAUAUUAUCAAGAACUCCAAUUGCGUAGGCAGCUCACUUGGCUUUUACUGACACUCAUGCACGGAAGUGUGGGUAUCAAACGGGAUUAGAAACCCCCGUAGUCC